CACGCCGUAAACGAUGAAUGCCAGUCGUCGGUGCGCAUGCGUAUCGGUGACACACCUAACGGAUUAAGCAUUCCGCCUGGGGAGUACGGUCGCAAGAUUAAAACUCAAAGGAAUUGACGGGGGCCCGCACAAGCGGCGGAGCAUGCGGAUUAAUUCGAUGCAACGCGAAGAACCUUACCAAGGCUUGACAUAUAGAGGAAACGGCCAGAGAUGGUCGCCCCGCAAGGUCUCUAUACAGGUGG
rnacentral:rRNA from 1 species